AUGGUGGGCGCCUCGACGUCGUCGGUGGUGAACGUGUACCCGCUCGCCAACUACACGUUCGGCACCAAGGAGCCCAAGAUGGAGAAGGACACCUCCGUCGCCGACCGCCUUGCCCGCAUGAAGGUCAACUACAUGAAAGAAGGAAUGCGGACAAGUGUUGAAGCAAUCCUGCUGGUGCAAGAGCACAAUCACCCCCACAUACUGUUAUUGCAAAUUGGGAACACAUUUUGCAAACUUCCUGGUGGACGUUUGAAGCCUGGGGAAAAUGAAAUUGAGGGCCUGAAAAGAAAGUUGUGCAGCAAACUUGCAGUGAACUCACCUUCCUUUCCACCUAACUGGCAGGUUGGUGAGUGUGUUGCUGUUUGGUGGAGGCCAAACUUUGAAACCGUGAUGUAUCCUUAUUGCCCUCCACAUAUAACCAAGCCCAAGGAAUGCAAGAAGCUUUUCAUUGUUCAUCUAACUGAAAGAGAGUAUUUCGCUGUUCCAAGGAACUUGAAGCUACUUGCUGUUCCACUGUUUGAACUCUAUGACAAUGUUCAGCGGUAUGGACCUGUAAUUUCCACCAUCCCGCAGCAGCUGUCUAGGUUCCAAUUCAACAUGGUGAGCUCAUAA
rnacentral:rRNA from 1 species